UACGAAGGGUGCAAGCGUUACUCGGAAUUACUGGGCGUAAAGCGUGCGUAGGUGGUUCGUUAAGUCUGAUGUGAAAGCCCCGGGCUCAACCUGGGAAUGGCGAUGGAAACUGGCGGGCUGGAGUGCGGCAGAGGGGGGUGGAAUUCCACGUGUAGCAGUGAAAUGCGUAGAGAUGUGGAGGAACACCGAUGGCGAAGGCAGCCCCCUGGGCCGACACUGACGCUCAGGCACGAAAGCGUGGGGGAGCAAACAGG
rnacentral:rRNA from 1 species